rnacentral:rRNA from 1 species
GUGGGGAAUAUUGCGCAAUGGGCGAAAGCCUGACGCAGCGACGCCGCGUGAGGGAUGAAGGUUUUCGGAUUGUAAACCUCUGUCCUUGGUGACGAAGGAAGUGACGGUAACCAAGGAGGAAGCCCCGGCUAACUACGUGCCAGCAGCCGCGGUAAUACGUAGGGGGCAAGCGUUGUCCGGAAUGACUGGGCGUAAAGGGCGUGUAGGCGGCCGAUUAAGUCUGGAGUGAAAGUCCUGCUUUCAAGGUGGGAAUUGCUUUGGAGACUGGUUGGCUUGAGUGCGGAAGAGGUAAGUGGAAUUCCCAGUGUAGCGGUGAAAUGCGUAGAGAUUGGGAGGAACACCAGUGGCGAAGGCGACUUACUGGGCCGUAACUGACGCUGAGGCGCGAAAGCGUGGGGAGCGAACAGGAUUAGAUACCCCAGUAGUCC